rnacentral:rRNA from 1 species
GACAAACGCUGGCGGCGUGCAUAAAACAUGCAAGUCGGACGAGCCAAUCCCCGCAAGGGGAAAGGGCUAGUGGCGAACGGCUGAGUAACACGUAGGUGAUCUGCCCUGAAGUGGGGGAUAACGACUCGAAAGAGUCGCUAAUACCGCAUGUGACCACCGAUCCGUUUUCGGUGCUCAAAGUCGUAAGACGCUUUAGGAGGAGCCUGCGGCGGAUUAGCUAGUUGGUGAGGUAAGGCCCACCAAGGCUUCGAUCCGUAGCUGGUCUGAGAGGAUGGCCAGCCAGACUGGGACUGAGACACGGCCCAGACUCCUACGGGAGGCAGCAGUUAGGAAUUUUGCGCAAUGGGGGGAAACCCUGACGCAGCCACGCCGCGUGCGGGAUGAAGGCC